rnacentral:rRNA from 1 species
AGUCGAGGGGCAGCACGAGGUAGCAAUACUUUGGUGGCGACCGGCGCACGGGUGAGUAACGCGUAUGCAACCUACCCUGUACAGGGGGAUAGCCCGGAGAAAUUCGGAUUAAUACCCCAUAACGAUAUGAAGAGGCAUCUUUUUAUAUUUAAAGCUUCGGCGGUACGGGAUGGGCAUGCGUGACAUUAGCUAGUUGGUAAGGUAACGGCUUACCAAGGCUUCGAUGUCUAGGGGUCCUGAGAGGGUGAUCCCCCACACUGGUACUGAGACACGGACCAGACUCCUACGGGAGGCAGCAGUGAGGAAUAUUGGUCAAUGGGCGUAAGCCUGAACCAGCCAUCCCGCGUGAAGGAAGAAGGCGCUAUGCGUCGUAAACUUCUUUUCCAGAGGAAUAAAAUUUUGUACGAGUACGGAACUGAAGGUACUCUGGGAAUAAGCAUCGGCUAACUCCGUGCCAGCAGCCGCGGUAAUACGGAGGAUGCAAGCGUUAUCCGGAUUUAUUGGGUUUAAAGGGUGCGUAGGCGGAUUAAUAAGUCAGUGGUGAAAACCUUCAGCUUAACUGGAGAACUGCCAUUGAUACUGUUAGUCUUGAGUACGGUCAAGGUAGGCGGAAUGUGUAAUGUAGCGGUGAAAUGCUUAGAUAUUACACAGAACACCGAUUGCGAAGGCAGCUUACUGGGCCAUUACUGACGCUGAGGCACGAAAGCGUGGGGAGCGAACAGGAUUAGAUACCCUGGUAGUCCACGCCGUAAACGAUGAUCACUCGCUGUUGGCGAUACACAGUCAGCGGCUAAGCAAAAGCAUUAAGUGAUCCACCUGGGGAG